rnacentral:rRNA from 1 species
AUACGAAGGGUGCAAGCGUUGUUCGGAUUUACUGGGCGUAAAGCGCGCGCAGGCGGAUUAAUAAGUCAGAUGUGAAAUCUCGGGGCUCAACCCCGAAACUGCGUCUGAAACUGUUGAUCUAGAGUUACGGAGGGGAGAGCGGAAUUUCGCAUGUAGGGGUAAAAUCCGUAGAGAUGCGAAGGAACACCAGAGCCGAAGGGGGCUCUCUGGCCAUACACUGACGCUGAGGCGCGAAAGCGUGGGUAGCAAACAGGAUUAGAUACCCUGGUAGUCCACGCCGUAAACGAUGAGUACUAGAUAUUGGGCCCUUUGACCGGUUCAGUGUCGCAGCUAACGCAUUAAGUACUCCGCCUGGGAAGUACGGUCGCAAGACUAAA